ensembl:lncRNA
CCGCUAUCGACGAUGUGGUCUGUGGCGUUCUAUUAGGCCUCGCCGUGUGCCUGUUUAUUCACAACCCUUCCUCCCUCCCUCCCUCCCUCCCUCCCUUCCUUCCUCCCUCCCUAAAUGUAGAAGAUAUUGAUCUCAAUCCCUUUACCUGCCUCUUUAGAAGACAUCACACCACAGUUUCCAUUUUGUGACCUUUCGCUCUAAUAUCUACAGAUGGGUCAUGAAGUUGUUAACUUCUGUCCGGGUACAGUCAUAUUGCUAUGUUCCAAACAGACAUCAUGACAUUCCUGUCAGCUUUUCCCAGCACAAGACUAAGUCCUGAUUUAAAAAAUAUAUAUAAAUAAUUAAAAAUCCACACACACAAUCACAUAGACAGACAUUCUAUCUGAUGGAAAGCACACAUUGGCGUUAACGCCAGCGGUUGAUUGAGAAGUGUCUACAUAGCAUUUCAAUUGAGAAGUACAAAUAUCAUUAGUGGUUUACUCACAUUUAUCCCUCCCUCUAGCCUAAGGCAGUGAUACUCAUUGUCUGUUGUCAGAAGCAUCGAUAAGGGACAGAAAAACACACUGGAGCUAAAGGGCAAGUCAAUCUGGUCUGCAUUCAUCCACUCAGCACUUUGAACCUGGUGUUUAAAGCUCAGUGUAAUGGGCCUGGUGUUAUUAAACCAAACCCGCCCAUUCAUCAUCACCCAGUUAUCUCUGUUAACCCGGUCCGCCUGUGUCUGAGAUGGUGGAACCGUUACCUCGUCAGACUCCACCCAGUGCCUUCUCUACCAACCACAGACCAGAGAGAUGGAUGUACAUUUGUACAGGCUGGUUACUGUUUGUUUGACACACACACAGCAUCAUACCGUGACAAGAAUGCGAUCACAAUAUAGAAUCCCACGAGGUCCAACUCAAACGGCAAGUUUUCACUCCCAUGUUAAGUCAGUCAUCUUUACAACCAAGUAGAUUAAUCCCCGUGUGUGUAUGUGUGUGUGUGUGUGUGUGUGUGUGUGUGUGUGUGUGUGUGUGUGUGUGUGUGUGUGUGUGUGUGUGUGUGUGUGUGUGUGUGUGUGUGUGUGUGUGUGUGUGUGUGUGUGUAUGUGUGUGUGUGUGUGUGUGCAUAUUAGACAGAUGGAGAGAAAUAUGAGUCUUAGAUGGGAGCUAAAUCCAUACGCGUAAAUACCAAGUUGUGUUUAGAGAUGACGAGGUGUUUAGAGAUGUUGGAAAAGAUAUGACCGUUGCUACUUAAAGUUCUAUCAAUCUGUUGCCAUGGGGAACUUCAGGCUAGUGAGAGGGCUUUGUGGGAAAGAUGUUGGUCUGUUGUAAAAUUUUGAAUGGCAAGUCCACAGAGUGCUAAUGGCGUUCCAAGUUGAAACUGUUAAAACCACCAUUUUGAUUCUCGACAAUUCAAGAUGUUAAAAAAAGAAAUAUCUCUUCCAAUCUUUUGGUGGGUGUUUAUCUCUACAUAUGACCAGUCCAGAUAGUUAAAUGGUGGGUAUCUGUCUCCACAUAUGACCAGUCCAGAUCUGUCUCUACAUAUGACCAGUCCAGAUAGUUAAAUGGUGGGUGUCUGUCUCUACAUAUGACCAAAUCACCAUAUCUUUAAGAAAUUAUAGAUAAUUCACAUUUUAUUUAUUUUAUUAUGAUCGUUGUCAUUGUACACAAAAAAAACCCGGUUAGCUUUUUAGUCAAACAUUUUUUUAAAUGUUGAAAGUCAGGUAAAAAAACAGAGACUAUUUUGUUAACAGUAGAGCUAUAAAUGUCAGAAUGAGUUGGUAGUUGUCUGGUCUGUGUGUUUGACCACAGUCUACCUCAGGCGUUUUGGAGGAAUCACUACAGCAUCUCUCUCCGUAUAUCAGUCGUUAUCUCUGCAGCCCAAUCAGAGGACCGGGACACUGCCCACCCGUGACCACUGCUGUGACAGCAUCAUACCGUGACAAGAUUCCGAUCACAAUAUAGAAUCCCACGAGGUCCAACUCAAACGGCAAGUUUUCACUCCCAUGUUGAGUCGGUCAUCUUUACAACCAAGUAGAUGAAUCCCCAGUGUAGUGUAAAGCACAACCUCAAAGGGUUUGUAAACAUUGCCACAAACUCUGAUUUAAGUAGUAAUGUUAGCUGUUAUUGGAAGGUGUAAAUCGGGCCAGAAUGUGGUGUUAUGGCUACAACCUAUUUGACUGGUGAUUAUCAUGCACAAAAGGUUAGGUUCCUGCUCCCUUUAUUUGCAUAGAAGCGCAGAAUCCCCAAGCAUCAGGUUUGGUUUGAUGUCCUUCUGAAAUGAACAGUUUCCUAGUUUAACAUACCCACUUAGCUAUCUGACAGUUGCUCUACUUCUCUACAUACAUUGUUCUAGUGAAGACUUGAUUCAUUUGAGCUUUUUUUUUUUGUUGAAAUUCUGCAUCAAGACCGAGUCGUCCAAAUCAUGAAUGCAUAUCUCUUUGAUCACAUACAUACAGCCAAAGUCUUCUAUAGCUCAGCUAUGUCUUGGUCACGCUGUUCAUCAUGAACAGAAUAGAUGAUCUCCUCAGUGGUUGGUUUUUGGUGGGUGGAGGUGUAUCUCUCCUGAGUUCCUUGUCUGCUCAAGUCAGUCAAAUAUGGGACGGCAUUCAGGCUUGAGGCUAUACAUUAUGACAUUUUAUGUAUCUUCCAGAAGUGUUUUUUGUUUCUCUCUGUUGUCAGUUUGCAUUUAUGUUGUAUGUAUUAUUUUUCUACUGUGAAAAUAUGUUAUUAUAUCAACGCCACCGUUGCGGUCUGUGUGGACGCUUGCAUGUCUCCGCUGGUUAAAGGACUGUUCCCUGAGAGAGCUGGACAAUCCUGUGUGCCAUAAUAAACAGAAAAAUGUAUUCUAGAUUGUAACUUCUCAGGGAGGCAUGAGUUGUGCGGGUGUGUUUGAGGGUGGAAAGAAGCUACCUGUCUGACCUGUCUGACCUGUCUGACCUGAAGUUGAAGUUCUCUCGUCAUCCUAGCAAAUUAUCUUUUUGGGGGGGCAACAAGUUGUCAACAAACAAACAACUGCCCCUUUGUGAAUCAAUAUUUUUUUCAGCUCUUCAAGAUUAUGGACAUGAUGAUUAAAUGAAUGCUUGUUAUCAUUGGGAUCUGUGGUGUUCACUGCCACCAGCUGGCUGUAUGUGAAAGUGUAGCAGCUGGACCGGCGCUCGUAGCCAGGGCUCUGUCCCAUAGUGCCUUGCUCAGACUGACCGCCCUCCCUCCUGACUAUACAGCUAGCCAGACCCUCGGUGCCCUGGACUGGACUAUUCUGGACUAGUCUGGUCUGGAAUGCUCUGGACUGGACUGGUCUGGACUGGACUAGACUGCCCUAGGACUGGACUGCUCUGCUCUGGACUGGUCUGGACUGGACUGGACUAGACUGCCCUAGGACUGGACUGGUCUAUACUAGACUAGACUGCUCUGGACUGGACUAGACUGUCUCCUCUCCUCGCUGAUCACCAAUAGUCAAGGAAUAAACCCCCAACGUACCCCCACAGCAGGAGAAUACUGGAGUAUCAACACAUGAUGUAUUCUAAGACAGGAAAGAGGGGUCCUUCUGUAACCCAUGGCUCCAGUCAGGGGGUAACACGUCCAGCUUGGCUGGAUUGAUGAUUCAUCAUAUUAUACUGUGUUGGGAUAAUUAUGUAAACGAUAUUCAUGGUUUAACUAAAAAUGUUGAACUUUUUUUGUCUCUACUACUGGGGCGAAGCUCUGACUUGUUUUGUGCAUGAAUCCAAACCCCAAGCUGAUAGUUUGUUAAUUUGAUGCUAAUAGAAUUGUGUAUCUCGGCCAACUCGCUUUGUUGAUUAAAACACAACACCCAAAGCACAUGGGAUCAUCUAUAAUUAGCAACAAUUGAAUGCACGACAUGGGAGAAUAGAACUCCCAUUUUUAAAAUGCAUACUGUUAAUUUUGUAUUAAAACUAAUCAAAACUUUUAACUGUAAAUAGCGGCAGAGAUCCCUGAAAAAAUAUAAGCACUUGAUUUAGGAAAAUGUAGUUUUAGUUUAAACUCUGAUAACCUAAACAUGCGGUUUGCCAGAACACGCUGGUGAUCCAGCAGCAGAUUAACCAUCAUUCUGUGUAUUGUUUCAAAAAUUUAAAAAAGUAUUACAUUUAGAGAUGUUGAUUAAAUAUUUUAAAUUUUGUGCCAAAAAUAGAGGGCAAAUACAAUUACUUUUCUGACUGUAAACAUUUACUACUCUUGUACAUGAUUGAAUUUUAACAUUGUUAUCAAUGUAUAUAACUUUUUCUAAAUAAAAAAAUCAACAUUUUUUUUGCUCAUGACACUACCCCGCUGCGCAGAUGAAAGGUCUGUACAUGUAUAAUGGAGCAGCAGAACUCUGACUAGAUGGGCUACGUGUGUUUCUUGACAUACUGUAUGUGGUCUGAAAUGUUCAUUUGAAUAUGUUCUUUCCCAUUCUAUAUACAUGUUGCCAUGGUUUCCCCCCCCCCCAGAAUCACAAUAACAUGUCAUCUGUUUUAUCUUCUUUUUUAAAUGUAUUAUUAUAUCUCAAAAUAUCGCCCAUUGUAAUGUUAUGGAAUGAAAUGUCCUUGUUUCAGACCAACAGCUUACAGAGAAGGCAUAUAGCUUUUUCGAUGUGAAAAGCUAGAAACGACCACUAGAGGAAAUCCUGGUAAAUAAAUAUAAAAUGUAUCAGAAUCAAAGGUUCUAUCCUAAUCUAAUGUGGGGUGGCAGGUAGCCUAGUGGUUUGAGCGUUGGGCAGGUAGCCUCGUGGUUUGAGCGUUGGGCAGGUAGCCUCGUGGUUUGAGCGUUGGGCAGGUAGCCUAGUGGUUUGAGCGUUGGGCAGGUAGCCUCGUGGUUAGAGCGUUGGGCAGGUAGCCUCGUGGUUAGAGCGAUGGGCAGGUAGCCUAGUGGUUAGAGCGUUGGGCAUGUAGCCUAGUGGUUAGAGCGUUGGGCCAGUAACCAAAAGCUGACAAGGUCAAAAAUCUGUCUUUCUGCUCCUGAACAAGGCAGUUAACCCACUGUUCCACGGUAGGCUGUUAUUGUAAAUAAGAAUUUGUUCUUAACUGACUUGCCUAGUUAAAUAAAAUAAAAGUUAAAUUUAAAGACUGCCAAGCCAUUUAACAUGACCAAGAAAACCACUAAGCUAUGUGUAUUUUGUACAAUGUCUGUUAGUAGUGAAAUGAAAUGUACGUGUGUUUAAAGAGAGUCACCAUUUUUUUGGACUGAUUCGGCCAAACUAGUCUACAUACAUCUACAGGUGUGAUAAUGUUAUAUUUGUCCAUCAACAAGGUUACUGAUCCAAACAGAUGUGCUAGAAGGUAAAGGGGUUCAGUGUAGUAGUGGUGGGGGUGGCCAUGAUGAUAUUGAGGGUUUAGGGGGUCAGUAUAGUUG